ACUCUGUCCAGCGCCAAUGCAGCGGGGUGCAUCGAGAGGCAGAACCUGACAGAGGAGCUCAGCCCACAGGAGCAGCAGGACAACAUCGCCGCUCUACAGGCCGCAUGCAUCGCAGCUCUGACAGAACUCAGCCUGGACGACUCUUGUGCCCACAGCAUAGUCCAGGAAAACGGAGUGUUCAUAAUCUCCAAGUUCAUCCUCCCUCCGGCCUCUGCAGCAAAGGCCUUCUUACAGUGCUACGCUUUCAGGGCCCUGCGCUUUCUGUUCAGCGUGGAAAGGAACAGGAAUCUCUUUAAACGGCUCUUUCCCACAGACCUCUUUGAGCUGUUUAUUGACGUUGGCCAUUAUGUUCGGGAGCUCGCGGCCUACAG
rnacentral:lncRNA from 1 species